rnacentral:rRNA from 1 species
UACAGAGGUCCCAAGCGUUGUUCGGAUUCAUUGGGCGUAAAGGGUGCGUAGGCGGCGCGGUAAGUCGGGUGUGAAAUCUCGGGGCUUAACUCCGAAACUGCAUUCGAUACUGCCGUGCUUGAGGACUGGAGAGGAGACUGGAAUUUACGGUGUAGCGGUGAAAUGCGUAGAUAUCGUAUGGAAGACCAGUGGCGAAGGCGGGUCUCUGGACAGUUCCUGACGCUGAGGCACGAAGGCCAGGGGAGCAAACGGG